rnacentral:rRNA from 1 species
GAUGAACGCUGGCGGCGUGCCUAAUACAUGCAAGUCGAGCGAACGGACGAGAAGCUUGCUUCUCUGAUGUUAGCGGCGGACGGGUGAGUAACACGUGGAUAACCUACCUAUAAGACUGGGAUAACUUCGGGAAACCGGAGCUAAUACCGGAUAAUAUUUUGAACCGCAUGGUUCAAAAGUGAAAGACGGUCUUGCUGUCACUUAUAGAUGGAUCCGCGCUGCAUUAGCUAGUUGGUAAGGUAACGGCUUACCAAGGCAACGAUGCAUAGCCGACCUGAGAGGGUGAUAGGCGACACUGGAACGGAGACACGGUCCAGACUCCUAAGGGAGGCAGCAGUAGGGAAUCUGCCGCAAUGGUCGAAAGCCUGACGGAGCAACGCCGCGUGAGUGAUGAAGGUCUUCGGAGCGUAAAAAUCUGUUAUUAGGGAAGAACAGAUGUGUAAGUAACUGUGCACAUCGUGACGGUACCUAAUCAGAAGGCCACGGCUAACUACGUG